GGCAUAGUGGUUUGAAUGCUAGACUACAGCUCAGGAGACCAGGGUUUGAUUCCCUGCUCCGCCA